rnacentral:rRNA from 1 species
GGGCCCGCACAAGCGGUGGAGCAUGUGGUUUAAUUCGACGCAACGCGAAGAACCUUACCAGCUCUUGACAUUGCUAAGUCGCGAGUUUUAGAGAUAAAACUCUUCAGUUCGGCUGGACUUAGUACAGGUGCUGCAUGGCUGUCGUCAGCUCGUGUCGUGAGAUGUUGGGUUAAGUCCCGCAACGAGCGCAACCCUUGUCCUUAGUUGCCAGCAAUUCGGUUGGGCACUCUAGGGAGACUGCCGGUGAUAAACCGGAGGAAGGCGGGGAUGACGUCAAGUCCUCAUGGCCCUUACGGGCUGGGCUACACACGUGCUACAAUGCUACGGACAAAGAGCAGCAAGUUCGCGAGGACAAGCAAAUCUCAUAAACCGUGGCUCAGUUCAGAUCGUAGGCUGCAACUCGCCUACGUGAAGGAGGAAUCGCUAGUAAUCG